UGGGGAAUCUUGGACAAUGGGCGCAAGCCUGAUCCAGCCAUGCCGCGUGAGUGAAGAAGGCCUUCGGGUUGUAAAGCUCUUUUACCAGGGACGAUAAUGACGGUACCUGGAGAAUAAGCCCCGGCAAACUUCGUGCCAGCAGCCGCGGUAAUACAGAGGUGGCAAGCGUUGUUCGGAAUUACUGGGCGUAAAGGGCGCGUAGGCGGCCCUCUAAGUCAGACGUGAAAUCCCCCGGCUUAACCUGGGAACUGCGUCUGAUACUGGAGGGCUUGAGUAUGGGAGAGGGAUGUAGAAUUCCAGGUGUAGCGGUGAAAUGCGUAGAUAUCUGGAGGAAUACCGGUGGCGAAGGCGGCAUCCUGGACCAUUACUGACGCUGAGGCGCGAAAGCUAGGGGAGCAAACGGGAUUAGAUACCCUGGUAGUCCCUGAGCGGGCUGGCAAGGCGCAU
rnacentral:rRNA from 1 species